AUGGAUCCAGCAGAUGUGUUGAAUGUGAGGUUCCAUUAUGGGGGUGAGUUCAUCCGUAUUGGCCCAAGCCUUGAUUAUGUUGGGGGUGAUACUGCAAUGUCAGAGAUAGAGAGGGAUAAGCUAUCACUGCCUGAGCUGAAAGGAUUUCUAGGAGAUCAUUUAGCUGUGAAAGAGAGCAUGAAGCUGUAUUUCCUUAUGCCUGGGAGAGAGUUGCUAAAUGGGUUAUUGUUUUUAUAUAUUGAUGAGGGUUGCAUGAGGAUGUCAGAGCAUAUUACAGAUGGAGGUGUUGCUGACAUAUUUGUGGAGUACAAUGGAGAGCAAGAUGAACCACAGGAAGAGGAUACAGAUGAACUGGAUGACCUGCUUAACAAUGGCAGUGAGCUUGAACCAGAUGCAGUUAUUACAGCAGAGGAAGAAGAUGUUGUGCAGGAACAUAUCUUAGUUCCUAAUGAGGGAGGUGUGGUAACUCAAGUGAUAAGUAGCCCUGUGAAGAACAAUUGCAGAACUGAUGAUCUGUCCCAAGGUUCUCAAAUUCUCAAUCCUUCUCAGCCAGUUGCUGCAAGCCAAAUUGUAGCUCCAAUUCCAGAAGAUGCAGGAAAUGGUUCAGAGUCUGAAGAUUCAGAUGAUCCAGAUUAUGUGGCACACACUGAUGACAGUGGAGAGGAGUCAUAG
rnacentral:rRNA from 1 species